UGCAAGUCGAACGAGAAUCUACAUAGAGAGAGUUUCUCGGACAACUGAAGGUGAGGACAGUGGCGGACGGGUGAGUAACGCGUGAGGAACCUGCCUUUCAGAGGGGGACAACAGUUGGAAACGACUGCUAAUACCGCAUGACACAUAGAGAUCGCAUGGUUUUUAUGUCAAAGAUUUAUCGCUGAAAGAUGGCCUCGCGUCUGAUUAGCUAGUUGGUGAGGUAACGGCCCACCAAGGCGACGAUCAGUAGCCGGACUGAGAGGUUGACCGGCCACAUUGGGACUGAGAUACGGCCCAGACUCCUACGGGAGGCAGCAGUGGGGAAUAUUGGGCAAUGGGCGCAAGCCUGACCCAGCAACGCCGCGUGAAGGAAGAAGGCUUUCGGGUUGUAAACUUCUUUUGUCGGGGACGAGUAGAAGACGGUACCUGGCGAAUAAGCCACGGCUAACUACGUGCCAGCAGCCGCGGUAAUACGUAGGUGGCAACGUUGUCCGGAUUUACUGGGUGUAAAGGGAGCGCAGGCGGGAUAGCAAGUCAGCUGUGAAAACUAUGGGCUCAACCCAUAAACUGCAGUUGAAACUGUUAUUCUUGAGUGGAGUAGAGGCAAGCGGAAUUCCGAGUGUAGCGGUGAAAUGCGUAGAUAUUCGGAGGAACACCAGUGGCGAAGGCGGCUUGCUGGGCUCUAACUGACGCUGAGGCUCGAAAGUGUGGGGAGCAAACAGGAUUAGAUACCCUGGUAGUCCACACUGUAAACGAUGAUUGCUAGGUGUGGGGGGUCUGACCCCCUCCGUGCCGGAG
rnacentral:rRNA from 1 species